rnacentral:rRNA from 1 species
UAGGGAAUCUUCGGCAAUGGACGAAAGUCUGACCGAGCAACGCCGCGUGAGUGAAGAAGGUUUUCGGAUCGUAAAACUCUGUUGUUAGAGAAGAACAAGGACGUUAGUAACUGAACGUCCCCUGACGGUAUCUAACCAGAAAGCCACGGCUAACUACGUGCCAGCAGCCGCGGUAAUACGUAGGUGGCAAGCGUUGUCCGGAUUCAUUGGGCGUAAAGCGAGCGCAGGCGGUUUCUUAAGUCUGAUGUGAAAGCCCCCGGCUCAACCGGGGAGGGUCAUUGGAAACUGGGAGACUUGAGUGCAGAAGAGGAGGGUGGAAUUCCAUGUGUAGCGGUGAAAUGCGUAGAUAUAUGGAGGAACACCAGUGGCGAAGGCGGCUCUCUGGUCUGUAACUGACGCUGAGGCUCGAAAGCGUAGGGAGCAAACAGG